CCCAUCAUGAUGGGAAUGGCCCCUGGGGUGGGAGGAGUCUGAGAACACUGUUCCAGGGUGCUGUUAGUUGAACAAGCACUUCUAGAAAGAAGAAAACAGGUAGAGGAAAACCUUUGCUGUUUGUUUUUUACAGUUCUAAAGCAAGUGCCAUGAGCAUUCAGAGGCCAACAGAAACAGGAGAAACUCACUUCCAAAUAAGGAACCUGGGUUUGCUGGCUGGAGAACCAAGAUUCCACCAUCCUGGACCCUUAGCCAGUUCUUCCUUCUGUGGUUCCUACCUGUGUUAAGCUGAGACCAGAUAAGUAGCAGGAGCAGAAGGGAAUUUCUGACACAUCAAUUCCAAUGCUCUGUUGGAUUCUUUCAAGCACUGCCACUGCCGCCACCACCAAGAGUUUGACGAGAUGGUGGGAUAGUCAUGUCGAUGGCUGGAAACCCAAAGGCUGAGAGCUGGCAGUAGAGGACAAGGAUGCAGGAGUCCUGAGCUGGGACGCCAGGGUCAUUCAGCCCACAUGUCUCUGAGUUCCUAGAAGAGGCAGCAGCAGCCAUGGUUGAGGUAAGCAAGCCAACCUGAGACCUUUGAAGACCCUGAAGAGGAACUCAACAUCGCAUCACAGUCCAGACCUCUCGGAACCCAUGGAAAACUAGACACCCAGCUGAAGAGGCCAAGCACCUGGCUCCCACAGGCAUCUCUAUGUUUGAGAACUGGCAUUGAAGGAGGUCGUGGGAAACUGAGAGAGGGAAAGAAGUGCCCAGACCAUCCCCCAGGAGCCUCUGCUGAUAAGCUGGCUGGCAUGAUGCUGGAUCUUGAUUGCACCAUUGGUCUCAGGUAAGAGAUCCCCCAGCCGCCAACUCCCCUGAAGACAAUCGGGUUCAGUCAUGACUCCUGACAGCAGCUGAUGUCAACAGAAGGGGCAGCCCAGUUAGAGCGCAGGGCUACCACUUCCUAGGCAAGUUAGUCUCCCUGAGCCUCAGUCUCCUCCUCUAUACAGCAGCACAGAGAUAGCCCAGCUUUGUGGCAGGGCUCAGUGAGCCACAGGAAAGCAUUCUGUAUGAUGGGGAACUCAGUGAAGACAGUAAUUAGUGCUGAAUUCCAGGCCCAUCGUGUUUGCCCUGAGGGAAACUGAGUCAUCCCUCUGCUCAGAAUCAGCAGUAGGGAAGGCUGCUGGGAGAAAGUGGAAUUUCUUUCCCAUUCGCAGUGGGUUGAAUUGCAGCCCCGCCACCCAAAUACAUCCAAAUUCUAUCAUCCCCACCCCUAUGCUCCACAAACCCGCGACCUUAUUUGGAAAUAGAAUCCUUGCAAAUGUGAUUAAGUGAAGGAUCUUGAGAUAAAAUCAUCCUGGAUCUAGGGUGGGCCCAAGAUCCAUUGACUGCCCUUAUGAGGGAAAGGAGAGGCAGAGAUUGGAGCAAUUUGUCUACAAACCUAGGAGCCCCAAAGGUGGUCCGGAGUCACUAGAAGCCAGGAGAGAAGCAUGCAACAGAUUCUUCCUCAGACCUUCCGGGAGGAACCAGCCCCACUGAUACCCUGAUUUCAGACUUCUGUUCUCCAGAACAGUGGAAGAAUAGAUGUCUGUUGUUGUAAGUCAGUAAGUUUAUUAAUUUAUUACACCAGCCCUAGGAAAUUAAUAAACCAUUCAAGUCAAGAAGCCUUGGCAGGUGAGAUUGCUGAGUCACCUGGGCUGUCCACCCCCAUCCAUCUGUCCCUGAGGGCCGAGGUCUCCCUCAGCUUCUGCUGAUGCCUUCGGCAGUUUUUGCACUCUUUCUCAGAAGUUACAGUGAGUUCCACUUGAUUCCAAAUCACAUUUAAGCCCAUUCUUACAGGCUUCAAAGUUUUGGUCUUGAGGGAAAGGCCUGGACAGUCUCAUUGUCUGGCACCAUCAAAUUGCUCUUACUUGGUAAUAAACACCACAGAUGUGUGAUAGCUGACCAGGCAAAUAGGGCGCCUGAGGAUCUGUCCUCCCUAGCUUGCUGCUUAGAGCGUGAAUCUCAAGCUUUAGGGCACAUAGAAUCACAUGGAAGGCUUGUGAAAAUGCAGAUCACUGGCCCUCUUUGCUUCAUUCCCCUCUCCCCCAACUAGCUUCUGAUUCAGUAGGUCUGGGGUGGGGCCAGAAACUCUCAGGUCUAACAGACUCCCAGGUGUUGCCAAUGCUUCUGGACCUGACUACACCUGAAAACAGUAAGAGCUCAGAGCCAUGGUUCUCAAACUUUGCUAGACGUGGAGAUGACCUGGGCAGCUUCUAAAAACCCCAUGCCUGGGCUGUGGCCCAUGUGUAUUAAAUCAGAAUCUCUGAAGGUAGAUCCUGAGCAUCAGUAAUUUUUUCCCUUUCUUUUCUUUUCUUUUUAGGGCCACACCUGUGGCACAUGGA